UCUUUGGAUUUAGGUUUGGAUUACGUGAUUAAUCCCCUGAGAGGUUGUUAUAUAAUGAUUAACUGUUCUGUUCUUCUAAUUUAAUCUGCUUUAGAGCUCUGGAAUUUGAAAUAUUUUGAUAAGCAGUAUAUCAAUUAUUUUUAAGUGGUAUCUGUCCCUUUAAAAAGAUAGCAUAAAAUUAUUCUGUACAUUGGUGCUAUUGCCAGAGAUUAACUCAUAUUAUAAACAUAUUGUCAACAUUCUAAAAGUAGACCUAUAGAAAAAAGGAUUAAAAAGCAUAUUAAUGCAGUUCAUAAAGGGGAAGUGGACACAGCUUUGAUGCAGAGAGCUUUAGAAUAUGAUCUAACUAUUAUAUGGACAAGAUUCAAGUAUUAAAGACAACUAGUGGAAUUAGAGGGGGCAGAAUGUUAGAGACAUUUAUUAUUCACUCUGUCAGAAAGACAAAACACAUGAUUAACUACAACUUGCUUGUGUUGGGCCUGGCUGGCUGAAUGUUUUAAAUAGGUAUGAUCCUGUAACAAGGUGGAACUAUCAGUUUUAAUAUUGUCAAGAUGCAUUACAAUGUAUUAUUUUUUGUUCAAUAUAUGAAAAUUAUCAUCCGGCAACAUGAUAUUAGAUUUAUGUUAGUAAUGUUUAGUCAUUUAGAAUUUUUUAUUUAUUUGAGAUUUUUAGAUUUUGAUUUUUUUAUUAUUAUAUAUUAUGGGGUACAUCAAUGUGAGCAUGGACUAACUCCAGAGCAAAGUGCUAUGUCAGAC
rnacentral:lncRNA from 1 species